GGGACAACAGCCAGAAAUGGCUGCUAAUACCGCAUAAGCCUGCUGUGCCGCAUGACACAGCAGGGAAAACCACGGUGGUACAGGAUGGGCCCGCGUCUGAUUAGUUAGUUGGCAGGGUAACGGCCUACCAAGACAACGAUCAGUAGCCGGCUUGAGAGAGUGGACGGCCACAUUGGGACUGAGACACGGCCCAGACUCCUGCGGGAGGCAGCAGUGGGGAAUAUUGCACAAUGGGGGGAACCCUGAUGCAGCAAUGCCGCGUGGGUGAAGAAGCACUCCGGUGCGUAAAGCCCUGUCAGCAGGGAAGAAAAUGACAGUACCUGGACAAGAAGCCCCGGCUAACUACGUGCCAGCAGCCGCGGUAAUACGUAGGGGGCAAGCGUUAUCCGGAUUUACUGGGUGUAAAGGGAGCGCAGGCGGCGUGGCAAGUCAGAUGUGAAAACCCGGGGCCCAACCCCGGGAGUGCAUUUGAAACUGCCAUGCUGGAGUGCCGGAGAGGUAAGCGGAAUUCCUAGUGUAGCGGUGAAAUGCGUAGAUAUUAGGAGGAACACCAGUGGCGGAGGCGGCUUACUGGACGGUAACUGACGCUGAGGCUCGAAAGCGUGGGGAGCAAACAGGAUUAGAUACCCUGGUAGUCCACGCCGUAAAC
rnacentral:rRNA from 1 species